rnacentral:rRNA from 1 species
UACGUAGGGGGCAAGCGUUGUCCGGAUUUAUUGGGCGUAAAGAGCGUGUAGGCGGUUUGGUAGGUCCGCUGUGAAAACUCGAGGCUCAACCUCGAGACGCCGGUGGAAACCAUCAGACUAGAGUCCGGAAGAGGAGAGCGGAAUUCCUGGUGUAGCGGUGAAAUGCGCAGAUAUCAGGAAGAACACCCGUGGCUAAGGCGGGUCUCUGGGCCGAAACUGACGCUGAGGAGCGAAAGCGUGGGGAGCGAACAGG